rnacentral:rRNA from 1 species
GACGAACGCUGGCGGCGUGCCUAAUACAUGCAAGUCGAACGCUGAAGGAGGAGCUUGCUUCUCCGGAUGAGUUGCGAACGGGUGAGUAACGCGUAGGUAACCUGCCUGGUAGCGGGGGAUAACUAUUGGAAACGAUAGCUAAUACCGCAUAACAGUAGAUAUUGCAUGAUAUCUGCUUGAAAGGUGCAAUUGCAUCACUACCAGAUGGACCUGCGUUGUAUUAGCUAGUUGGUGAGGUAACGGCUCACCAAGGCGACGAUACAUAGCCGACCUGAGAGGGUGAUCGGCCACACUGGGACUGAGACACGGCCCAGACUCCUACGGGAGGCAGCAGUAGGGAAUCUUCGGCAAUGGACGGAAGUCUGACCGAGCAACGCCGCGGGAGUGAAGAAGGUUUUCGGAUCGUAAAGCUCUGUUGUAAGAGAAGAACGAGUGUGAGAGUGGAAAGUUCACACUGUGACGGUAGCUUACCAGAAAGGGACGGCUAACUACGUG